rnacentral:rRNA from 1 species
UUUUAGAAUAUAAUUUGAAGUAGGGCCUGCCCMCUGAUUUAUUGAAGGGCCGCAGUAUUUUGACUGUGCGAAGGUAGCAUAAUCAUUAGUUUUUUAAUUGAAAGCUUGUAUGAAUGGUUUGAUGAGGGAACGACUUUCUUUUUCUAAAUUUUUAAAACUUUAUUUUUAAGUUAAAAAGCUUAAAUUUUUAUAAAAGACGAGAAGACCCUAUAGAGUUUAAAUAUUAAAACUUUAUUAAUAUAAAGAAUUAAAUUAUUUUUAUUGUUUAAAUAUUUUGAUUGGGGUGAUUGAAAAAUAAGAAAAACUUUUUUUACAUUAAAACAUUAAUUUAUGAAAAUUUGAUCCAUUAAAUUGAUUAAAAGAAUAAAUUACCUUAGGGAUAACAGCGUUAUUUUUUUUUAGAGUUCUUAUCGAAAAAAAAGAUUGCGACCUCGAUGUUGGAUUAAAGUUAAUUUUAGGUGUAGAAGCUUAAAAAUUUAGUCUGUUCGACUAUUAAAACUUUACA